GAGUUUGAUGAUGGCUCUGAAUGAACGCUAUCCAAAUGCUUGACACAUGCUAAUCGUACGUCAAUUAUGCUUUGCUUAGAUUGAAGUGGUGUACAGGUGAGUAUAAUAUAAAUUAUACCUUAAAGCAAGGGAAAAUAAAAUCCCUUAUAAAUAAUAAAGAUAUCUAUAUCGCUUUAAGAAGUUUAUAUUUCGAGUGGCAUUAGCUGCAAGAUAGAGUUGCAGCUAGCAUAAUGCUCGUAACCAAGACUGAGAGGUCAAUUGGUCACAGUGUGGCAUGAAAAAGCCCACGGUUAACUACAGCAGUGAGGAAUAUUGGUCAAUGGCCUAACGGCUGAACCAGCAACUUGGAGGAAUGUAUAGAGAAAGCUGGUAAAAUGCGAUGUAUCUAGUAGUAUUAGUAAUUAAUAUGAUAUUAACUAAGUUAAUUAAAAUUCAAUGUAGAUAUCUGAUAAUGACAGUAUUUGCUUAUGUCUUGACCAAAUCACGUGCCAGCAGUCGCGGUAAGACGUGGAAGAUAAGUGUUAUUCAUGUUUAACAGGUUUAAAGGGUACCUAGACGGUUAAUUAAACACUCUAAUGUAUUAAUUACCUAGAGUUUGAUAUAAGAAGGAUUGAGUACGGUGAGUGUAGAGAUAAAAUUUUAUUAGACCACUAUGGAACUGGUAAAGGCGAAGGCAACCUUCUAUGUAAAAACUGACGUUAAGGGACGAAGGCUCGUUAUAAAAAACAGGAUUAGAUACCCUGGUAUUUUGGGCAGACAAUGAUGAGUGUCAUAUGCAAGAGAAAUUUUUGUGUAUAAAUGAAAGUGUAAGCACUCCACCUCAAGAGUAACAUGGCAACAUGGGAACUGAAAUCAUUAGACCGUUUCUGAAACUCGUAGUGAAGUAUGUUGUUUAAUUUGAUAACCCACAAAUAACCUUACCAUAACUUGAAUUACUUUAGUUUACUUAAGUAACAAGCGUUGCACGGCUGUCUCCAGUCAAUGUUGUGAAACUGUGGUUAGAUCCAUUGAAUUGACGUAAACCCUCACUCUACUUACUGUAGAGUGGUUCGCCGCUAUAUUGGUAGUGAUAUAUGGGACUAAGACAAGUCAUCAUGACCUGAACGUUAUGGGCUAUAGACGUGCCGCAUUGCCUUAACAAAAAGAUGCAAAAUUGCGAAAUUUAGCUAAUCUAGAAAAAAGGAAUUAAUACGGAUUGUAGUCUGAAAUUUGACUGCAUGAAAAAGGAAUUACGAGUAAUCGUGUAUCAUUAUGGCACGGUGGACAUUACCUCAGUUAGGUACUAACCACUCGUCAGGCGCUGAAAGGAGGGUGCGCAAUAAGUUUGAUUCCUAUAUUUUUAUAAUUUAAAUAAAUAUUUUUAAAAUACUAAUGUUAGGAGUUUUCGUAUGCGUGUCUCUAAUUGGUGUUAAGUCGAAAUAAGGUUCGUGUAGUGGAAAUUGC
rnacentral:rRNA from 1 species